rnacentral:rRNA from 1 species
GAGGCCUUAGCGGUGCUAUACAUGCAGUCGAGCGGACAGAAGGGAGCUUGCUCCCGGACGUUAGCGGCGGACGGGUGAGUAACACGUAGGUAACCUGCCCCUUAGACUGGGAUAACUCCGGGAAACCGGAGCUAAUACGGGAUAAUAAAGAGAAUCACCUGAUUUUCUUUUGAAAGACGGUUUCGGCUGUCACUAAGGGAUGGGCCUGCGGCGCAUUAGCUAGUUGGUAAGGUAACGGCUUACCAAGGCGACGAUGCGUAGCCGACCUGAGAGGGUGAUCGGCCACACUGGGACUGAGACACGGCCCAGACUCCUACGGGAGGCAGCAGUAGGGAAUCUUCCGCAAUGGACGAAAGUCUGACGGAGCAACGCCGCGUGAGUGAGGAAGGCCUUCGGGUCGUAAAGCUCUGUUGUGAGGGAAGAACAAGUACCGGGGUAACUACCGGUACCUUGACGGUACCUCACCAGAAAGCCACGGCUAACUACGUGCCAGCAGCCGCGGUAAUACGUAGGUGGCAAGCGUUGUCCGGAAUUAUUGGGCGUAAAGCGCGCGCAGGCGGCUUCUUAAGUCUGAUGUGAAAUCUCGGGGCUCAACCCCGAGCGGCCAUUGGAAACUGGGGAGCUUGAGUGCAGAAGAGGAGAGUGGAAUUCCACGUGUAGCGGUGAAAUGCGUAGAUAUGUGGAGGAACACCAGUGGCGAAUGCGACUCUCUGGUCUGUAACUGACGCUGAGGCGCGAAAGCGUGGGGAGCAAACAGGAUUAGAUACCCUGGUAGUCCACGCCGUAAACGAUGAGUGCUAGUGUUAGGGGUUUCGAUGCCCGUAGUGCCGAAGUAAACACAUUUAGCACUCCGCCUGGGGAGUACGGCCGCAAGGCUGAACUCAAAGGAUUGACGGGGUCCCCGCACAAGCAUUGGAGCAUGUGGUUUAUUCGGAGCAACGCGAGAACCUUACCAGCCUUGACCAUCCUUUGACACUCUGGAGAAGAGCUUCCCCUCGGGAGCAAGGUCGUGUGCAUGUUGUCUUCACCUCUGUCCGGGAAAUGUGGUUAAGUCCGCAACGAACGCACCCCCUUG